rnacentral:rRNA from 1 species
AAAGGAAGUUGACGGGGAGCACCACAACGGGUGGAGCUUGUCGGUUUAAUUGGAUUCAACGCCGGAAUCUUACCGGGACCGACAGCAAUAUGAAGGCCAGGCUGAAGACUUUGCCGGAUUAGCUGAGAGGUGGUGCAUUGGCCGUCGUCAGUUCGUACUGUGAAGCAUCCUGUUAAGUCAGGCAACGAGCGAGACCCACGCCCACAGUUGCCAGCGUACUCUCUGGAGUGACGGGUACACUGUGGGGACCGCCGCUGCUAAAGCGGAGGAAGGAAUGGGCAACGGUAGGUCAGUAUGCCCCGAAUAUCCCGGGCUACACGCGAGCUACAAUGGUUGGUACAAUGGGUAUCUACCCCGAAAGGGGACGGGAAUCUCCUAAAACCAGUCUUAGUUCGGAUUGAGGGCUGCAACUCGCCCUCAUGAAGCUGGAAUCCGUAGUAAUCGCGUUUCAACAGAACGCGGUGAAUACGUCCCUGCUCCUU